UGUAGCGGUGGAAUGCGCAGAUAUCAGGAGGAACACCGGUGGCGAAGGCGGGUCUCUGGGCAGUAACUGACGCUGAGGAGCGAAAGCGUGGGGAGCGAACAGGAUUAGAUACCCUGGUAGUCCACGCCGUAAACGGUGGGUACUAGGUGUGGGUUUCCUUCCUUGGGAUCCGUGCCGUAGCUAACGCAUUAAGUACCCCGCCUGGGGAGUACGGCCGCAAAGGCUAAAACUCAAAGAAAUUGACGGGGGCCCGCACAAGCGGCGGAGCAUGUGGAUUACUUCGAUGCAACGCGAAGAACCUUACCUGGGUUUGACAUGCACAGGACGCCGGCAGAGAUGUCGGUUCCCUUGUGGCCUGUGUGCAGGUGGUGCAUGGCUGUCGUCAGCUCGUGUCGUGAGAUGUUGGGUUAAGUCCCGCAACGAGCGCAACCCUUGUCUCAUGUUGCCAGCGGGUAAUGCCGGGGACUCGUGAGAGACUGCCGGGGUCAACUCGGAGGAAGGUGGGGAUGACGUCAAGUCAUCAUGCCCCUUAUGUCCAGGGCUUCACACAUGCUACAAUGGCCGGUACAAAGGGCUGCGAUGCCGCGAGGUUAAGCGAAUCCUUUUAAAGCCGGUCUCAGUUCGGAUCGGGGUCUGCAACUCGACCCC
rnacentral:rRNA from 1 species